rnacentral:rRNA from 2 species
AGGACGCUAAUACCGCAUACGUCCUACGGGAGAAAGUGGGGGAUCUUCGGACCUCACGCUAUCAGAUGAGCCUAGGUCGGAUUAGCUAGUUGGUGAGGUAAAGGCUCACCAAGGCGACGAUCCGUAACUGGUCUGAGAGGAUGAUCAGUCACACUGGAACUGAGACACGGUCCAGACUCCUACGGGAGGCAGCAGUGGGGAAUAUUGGACAAUGGGCGAAAGCCUGAUCCAGCCAUGCCGCGUGUGUGAAGAAGGUCUUCGGAUUGUAAAGCACUUUAAGUUGGGAGGAAGGGCAUUAACUUAAUACCUUGCUGUUUUGACGUUACCAACAGAAUAAGCACCGGCUAACUUCGUGCCAGCAGCCGCGGUAAUACGAAGGGUGCAAGCGUUAAUCGGAAUUACUGGGCGUAAAGCGCGCGUAGGUGGUUCGUUAAGUUGGAUGUGAAAGCCCCGGGCUCAACCUGGGAACUGCAUCCAAAACUGGCGAGCUAGAGUAUGGCAGAGGGUGGUGGAAUUUCCUGUGUAGCGGUGAAAUGCGUAGAUAUA